UCCAUAUGGAUUUGUAAAUUCUGCAGAAAUAAAAAGGGGUUAAAAUGCUCAAUUAAACACCAAGUAUGGCACAGAACUGUAGCUUGUGCAUGUAAGCACAAAAAAGAAAAGAGCAAUAUUUUUUUUGGAUUUGACUUGCCUACAUCAGGAGUAUUUCACCAAACCAACAGAUGAGUACCUUGAGUGCUUUACACUUUUGGGCAAUGAAUGAUUGCCACCUAUUCCAAUUGCUACAGUCACCCAUAUUUGGCACUCAUCUAUCAGCUUGGAGUAACACUCUUUAAGUGCAGACAAGAAUUUUUCCUCAUCUCUAGAGAUAGCCCUGAAGACAACCACUCCAGUACCACUAUGCCAAAGCUCAUUUAUAGAGAGCAAUUAUUGAAACAUACGAGAAACACUUAUAAAAAAAGCAGAAUAUUAGAGAGCUAUUGGAGUGGCUUGGCAUAUAUUAGCUAAAUAACCAUUCAAAAUAAAAGGGGGAAAAAGAAAAAGAAUGGUACUAUAAUAGAUACAAAAUAACCUUGUUGUGUCAAGUCAUCAUAAAAAAGCAGAAGUAGAAAUUAUAUAAAAUAAUUGCACAUUUUGGUUUCUGAGAAUUUAUAACAACAAGAACUAGGAAUCUUAUCAUAGGUCGCAAUCUUUUAUCUGAGCUUCAUGUGCAAGACCCUCCACAAACAAACAAAAGAACCAAACACAUAUCUCUAUAUUAGAAAAAAAUAACACUUUCAAUCUUUCACGUAGUACUAAGUACUAAUCCAUAAAUCCAAUGAUCUAAAAAAGUAAAAUUUGAAUUCCUA
rnacentral:misc_RNA from 1 species